rnacentral:rRNA from 1 species
AUUGAACGCUGGCGGCAGGCCUAACACAUGCAAGUCGAACGAGUGGCGGACGGGUGAGUAAUGUCUGGGAAACUGCCUGAUGGAGGGGGAUCACUACUGGAAACGGUAGCUAAUACCGCAUACCAUCGGAUGUGCCCAGAUGGGAUUAGCUUGUUGGUGGGUUAACGGCUCACCAAGGCGACGAUCCCUAGCUGGUCUGAGAGGAUUACCAGCCACCAUGUAACUGAGACACGGUCCAGACUCGUACGGUAGGCAGCAGGGGGGAAUAUUGAACAAUGGGCGCAAGCAGGAUGCAGCCAGGCCGCGUGUAUGAAGAAGGCCUUCGGGUUGUAAAGUACUUUCAGCGGGGAGGCGUUACCCGCAGAAGAAGAACCGGCUAACUCCGUGCCAGAAGCCGCGGUAAGAC